GACAGAGGGGGCAAGCGUUGCUCGGAAUUACUGGGCGUAAAGGGUUCGUAGGUGGCCAACUAAGUCAGACGUGAAAUCCCUCAGCUUAACUGGGGAACUGCGUCUGAUACUGGUUGGCUUGAGUGCAGGAGAGGAACGCGGAAUUCCAGGUGUAGCGGUGAAAUGCGUAGAUAUCAGGAGGAAUACCGAUGGCGAAGGCAGGUCUCUGGGCUGACACUGACGCUCAUGCACGAAAGCGUGGGGAGCAAACAGG
rnacentral:rRNA from 1 species